ensembl:lncRNA
AUGGAUGGCAGAUAUGGGACAGCUGCAUAUUGUUGGACUAGGUCUAUGUAUUUAAGUGGAUUAAACAACACUUCCCCUCGUGCAGGGAUGUCAAAUUGGGCUCUUUUUCCUUUGUGGGGGCAAAAGAGCAUCCAGUCCCGCCCCCUUGCCCCGUCCUCCAUUUGUGCACAAUCGCUAGUACGGAAGACAGUUUUCGUCAUGAUCCUGAGCGCUCUUUUGGUAAGCGACUUUUACCUUUCCCCCCUAAAGUCAACAAGUUUAGCUUUCCUCCCUAAAAAAAAAGCUCAACAACUUUAACCUGAACCCCUCCAAAAUGGGUAGAUCACUGUCAGUUUUUUCUUCUGUAAGUAGAUCGCAGUCUCUUGGGAGUUUGACGUCCCUGCCCUAGUGCAACGGAUCCACUUUUUUUACUUCUGAAACUGAAAUUGACCAAUUACAGAUAGGUAGCCGUGUUGGUCUGCCAUAGUCAAAACAAAAAAAUUCCUUCCAGUAGCACCUUAAAGACCAACUAAGUUAGUUCUUGGUAUGAGCUUUCGUGUGCAAGCACACUUCUUCAGAUACACUGAAACAGAAGUUGCCAGAUCCUUCUAUAUAAUUGAAAUUGACCAAUUCUAUGAAGACUUACAACACCUUCUAGAAAUGACACCAAAGAAGGAUGUUCUUCUCAUUAUAGGGAAUUGGAAUCCUAAAGUAGGGGAUAAAAGGAACAACUGGCAAGUUUGGCCUUGGAGAUCAAAACGAAGCAGGGCAAAGGCUAAUAGAGUUCUGUCAAGAGAACAAGCAUAGACAUCACCUUGCCAGCAAAGGUCCAUAUAGUUAAAGCUAUGGUUUUUCCAGCAGUGAUGUAUGGAAGUGAGAGCUGGACCAUAAAGAAGGCUGAUCGCUGAAGAAUUGAUGCUUUUGAAUUAUGGUGUUGGAGGAGACUCUUGAGAGUCCCAUGGACUGCAAGAAGAUCAAACCUCUCCAUUCUUAAGGAAAUCAGCCCUGAGUGCUCACUGGAAGGACAGAUCGUGAAGCUGAGGCUCCAAUACUUUGGCCACCUCAUGAGAAGAGAAGACUCCCUGGAAAAGACCCUGAUGUUGGGAAAGAUGGAGGGCACAAGGAGAAGGGGACGACAGAGGACGAGAUGGUUGGAUAGUGUUCUCAAAGCUACCAGCAUGAGUUUGACCAAACUGCGGGAGGCAGUAGAAGACAGAAGUGCCUGGCGUGCUCUGGUCCAUGGGGUCACAAAGAGUCGGACACGACUAAACAACAACAACACACUGCUGGCUGUGCAAGAUAAGAAAAGAAAAAAGUAGGUUGCUAAGGGGAUUGCAUAUGCCGAUGCUGAUAGCCAAUUGAAUCGUCAUAAGUAUUACUGCAUAUAGAGUUAACUGUAUAAAUUUUGUGAGCAUGCCACAAAUGCUGUACGUAUAGGAUUUGGAACUCGAUUUCCCCAUACUUUCUUCCUGCUGUCUGAUUAAAUCUUUCCUUCUCAAUCCUGGUGUGAUUAAUGGCUCAGGUCACCCCACCAUUGGACCUUUUGUCCGCAACACAGUUGUAAAUAAAAUGAAAAUAUUAAAAACAUCCAAAAACUUAAGAAAUGCUCUGAAAGCUAGUAAUGUCUAGUUUACUGGAAGUAGUAUCUUUCAGCCAUCAAAUCGGGUCAACAAACUUUUUCAGCAGGGGGCCGGUCUACUGUCCCUCAGACCUUGUGGGGGGCCGGACUAUACUGGGGGGGGUGAACAAAUUCCUAUGCCCCACAAAUAACCCAGAGAUGCAUUUUAAAUAAAAGGACACAUUCUACUUGUGUAAAAACACACUUGUUCCCAGACCAUCUACGACCGGAUUGAGAAG